GGAUUGUGGCUCAGUGGUAGAAUGCUCGCCUAGCACGUGCAAGGCCCUGGGUUUGAGUCUCAGCACCA
rnacentral:tRNA from 1 species